rnacentral:tRNA from 1 species
AGUAAUGAAGUAAAAUUACAAUUAGUUUCGACCUAAUUUAAGGGUUAUACCCCUUACUUAUUA